rnacentral:rRNA from 1 species
UACGGAGGGUGCGAGCGUUGUCCGGAAUCAUUGGGCGUAAAGGGCGCGUAGGUGGCCCGGUCAGUCUUUGGUGAAAGCGCGGGGCUCAACCCUGCGUCGGCCAGGGGAUACUGCCGCGGCUCGAGCACUGUAGAGGCAGGCGGAAUUCCGGGGUGUAGCGGUGGAAUGCGUAGAGAUCCGGAAGAACACCGGUGGCGAAGGCGGCCUGCUGGGCAGUUUAGCUGACACUGAGGCGCGACACGUGGGGGAGCAAACAGGG